GACGAACGCUGGCGGCGUGCUUAACACAUGCAAGUCGAACGAUGAUCAGGAGCUUGCUCCUGUGAUUAGUGGCGAACGGGUGAGUAACACGUGAGUAACCUGCCCCUGACUCUGGGAUAAGCGUUGGAAACGACGUCUAAUACUGGAUAUGAUCACUGGCCGCAUGGUCUGGUGGUGGAAAGAUUUUUUGGUUGGGGAUGGACUCGCGGCCUAUCAGCUUGUUGGUGAGGUAAUGGCUCACCAAGGCGACGACGGGUAGCCGGCCUGAGAGGGUGACCGGCCACACUGGGACUGAGACACGGCCCAGACUCCUACGGGAGGCAGCAGUGGGGAAUAUUGCACAAUGGGCGCAAGCCUGAUCCAGCCAUACCGCGUGGGUGAAGAAGGCCUUCGGGUUGUAAAGCCCUUUUGUUGGGAAAGAAAAGCAGCAGGUUAAUACCCCGCUGUUCUGACGGUACCCAAAGAAUAAGCACCGGCUAACUUCGUG
rnacentral:rRNA from 1 species